AACCUUUAGCCAAACAAGCAUUAAAGGCAACACCUGCCCAGUGAACAAUUAAACGGCCGCGGUACCCUAACCGUGCAAAGGUAGCAUAAUCAUUUGUCUAUUAAUUGUAGACCUGUAUGAAAGGUAGAAUGAGGGCCCAACUGUCUCUUAUAAUAAAUCAAUUAAACUGAUCUCCCAGUACAAAAGCUGGGAUACAAACAUAAGACCAGAAGACCCUGUGAAGCUUAAACUAACAUAUUAAAUCAUAUAAUAUCUACUUUCGGUUGGGGCGACCUUGGAAAAAAAAAGAACUUCCAACAAAUGGUUUUACACCAUAUUUAGGCCGACAGGCCUCAUAGACCCAGUAUUACUGAUAAUUGAACCAAGUUACUCCAGGGAUAACAGCGCCAUCUUCUUCAAGAGCCCAUAUCAAAAAGAAGGUUUACGACCUCGAUGUUGGAUCAGGACAUCCUAAUGGUGCAGCAGCUAUUAAGGGUUCGUUUGUUCA
rnacentral:rRNA from 1 species